rnacentral:rRNA from 1 species
UCCAGACUCCUACGGGAGGCAGCAGUGGGGAAUAUUGGGCAAUGGGCGCAAGCCUGACCCAGCAACGCCGCGUGAAGGAAGAAGGCUUUCGGGUUGUAAACUUCUUUUGUCAGGGACGAAGCAAGUGACGGUACCUGACGAAUAAGCCACGGCUAACUACGUGCCAGCAGCCGCGGUAAUACGUAGGUGGCAAGCGUUAUCCGGAAUGAUUGGGCGUAAAGGGUGCGCAGGCGGUCCUGCAAGUCUGGAGUGAAACGCAUGAGCUCAACUCAUGCAUGGCUUUGGAAACUGGAGGACUGGAGAGCAGGAGAGGGCGGUGGAACUCCAUGUGUAGCGGUAAAAUGCGUAGAUAUAUGGAAGAACACCAGUGGCGAAGGCGGCCGCCUGGCCUGUUGCUGACGCUGAGGUACGAAAGCGUGGGGAGCAAAUAGGAUUAGAUACCCGAGUAC